CUGUCCUGGGUGCACCCUCCAACACCUGGUUCCCGUGAGUGCGGUGUUCCAGCUUACAGCUCUGUUUGGUGGGGUUGUGCUGGGUUCACAUAGUGUGCCAGUGGGGGCAGGUUGUUGAAGCUAUGUUAGGGCCAGGGCUUAGGAACAGGAUGUUGCGCCCCGUUGUGCGCCACCAUUGUCUAUGCCGUUGGUCAAGUUCGGGUUAUGAUAUGAUAUGGGGCACACAACUCAGGCCCACCACCCCCUGCAU